rnacentral:rRNA from 1 species
CCUACGGGGGGCUGCAGUGGGGAAUAUUGCACAAUGGGCGCAAGCCUGAUGCAGCCAUGCCGCGUGUGUGAAGAAGGCCUUCGGGUUGUAAAGCACUUUCAGCGGGGAGGAAGGCGGUGAGGUUAAUAACCUCAUCGAUUGACGUUACCCGCAGAAGAAGCACCGGCUAACUCCGUGCCAGCAGCCGCGGUAAUACGGAGGGUGCAAGCGUUAAUCGGAAUUACUGGGCGUAAAGCGCACGCAGGCGGUCUGUCAAGUCGGAUGUGAAAUCCCCGGGCUCAACCUGGGAACUGCAUUCGAAACUGGCAGGCUAGAGUCUUGUAGAGGGGGGUAGAAUUCCAGGUGUAGCGGUGAAAUGCGUAGAGAUCUGGAGGAAUACCGGUGGCGAAGGCGGCCCCCUGGACAAAGACUGACGCUUAGGUGCGAAAGCGUGGGGAGCAAACAGGAUUAGAUACCCGGGUAGUC